rnacentral:rRNA from 1 species
UACGGGGGGGGCAAGCGUUGUUCGGAAUUACUGGGCGUAAAGGGCGCGUAGGCGGCCUGCUAAGUCAGACGUGAAAUCCCUCGGCUUAACCGGGGAACUGCGUCUGAUACUGGAUGGCUUGAGUUUGGGAGAGGGAUGCGGAAUUCCAGGUGUAGCGGUGAAAUGCGUAGAUAUCUGGAGGAACACCGGUGGCGAAGGCGGCAUCCUGGACCGAUACUGACGCUGAGGAGCGAAAGCCAGGGGAGCAAAGCGGG